CUACGUGCCAGCAGCCGCGGUAAUACGUAGGGCGCGAGCGUUGUCCGGAAUUAUUGGGCGUAAAGAGCUUGUAGGCGGUUUGUCGCGUCUGCUGUGAAAGGCCGGAGCUUAACUCCGUGUAUUGCAGUGGGUACGGGCAGACUAGAGUGCAGUAGGGGAGACUGGAAUUCCUGGUGUAGCGGUGGAAUGCGCAGAUAUCAGGAGGAACACCGAUGGCGAAGGCAGGUCUCUGGGCUGUAACUGACGCUGAGAAGCGAAAGCAUGGGGAGCGAACAGGAUUAGAUACCCUGGUAGUCCAUGCCGUAAACGUUGGGCACUAGGUGUGGGGSACAUUCCACGUUUUCCGCGCCGUAGCUAACGCAUUAAGUGCCCCGCCUGGGGAGUACGGCCGCAAGGCUAAAACUCAAAGAAAUUGACGGGGGCCCGCACAAGCGGCGGAGCAUGCGGAUUAAUUCGAUGCAACGCGAAGAACCUUACCAAGGCUU
rnacentral:rRNA from 1 species